rnacentral:lncRNA from 1 species
CAAACUCCAUCAAAUAGGUUUAAAGAUACGAAUCCUGGUCCUUCUGCCAUAUCACGAACAGCUGCUGAUGAAGGAUCUAGGACUGGAAUUAAAGGGUCUGGAAUUUUGAGUUCUAUCAAUGCAACUGGAGGUGUUUCUGAGAGACAACCUUCGGGAGUGCUCAUACGUACUGAUAAACAGAAGUCCACUCUUCACAUUUCGGAGCCAGAAUUGUCUGCUACACCCAGGUCAAUUCAUGAUACAAGUGAUUUUUCUAAUUUUCUUACCUGAGCUAUCUGCGUGGUUGUCUGAAAGAUUUGAGUUUAAUUUGUCUUUUCUUAAUGACAGUCGACAAAGAAUAGAAUCGGCCAGUCGCCAAAUGACUAUAUUUUAUGGCGGUCAAGCCCAUGUUUUUGACAAAGUUCACCCCGAUAAGGUCUGCUUUCUGCACUUUUUUGAUCAACCGUUUGACUGAUACAUACCUGAUCAACUGCUUUUUGUACUAUUAACUUAAACAGAAGUAUUUUCAUGUUUAUUUGACCUGAUUAGUACGCGCAGAAAAAAUGCAUCCUUCAGUAUUCCCCGAUCCACUGUUAGAGAAUCUUUAUUAUCAAACGUAAUUUUUACUAUGCUUAUGAGUGUUAUGCUAAUUCUGGAAGUUAUUUGUAUUAUUACCUCGAAGUGGAGGUUGGAUGUCAUUAUCAAGGAAGCCUUUGGGGUUUAUGAUUCAAGGAGUUUGUGCUUUUUACUGUUGGAAUUUGGACAGGAAGGGUAGUGAAGCUCCAGAAGAACAUGUGUAUUGACGAAAGCUUACCUUAAUGGUAGCUGGAAGCCAAGAGACUUUGAUUAUGGUCACUGAGCUUAAGAUCUAAAGGACUAUUUAGAAAAUUUUCUUUGAAGUUUUCUUCAAAAAACUUCCUUAUGCUGUAGGACCCAGGGUUGUGGGGAGCAAGAAUGGUUUGCAACAAAUAGUCAAGUUUUCAAAAAUUUGGCGAGAUGUUCUCUUAGAAACAUUUAGAAGUUUAUAGCUACGGGAUUUUCUUCUUUUAUUGUGUUCACAAUGUGGAGUGUGGGUGCAAGAGAUAUGAUUUCUUUGGGAGUAAGGUUGAUUAGUUUUUGCUCCCUUUCUUUUCUUAAAAACGUGCUAUGGAUUUUGUUUGUUCACCCUUCUGAAAAUGGAAAUGUUUCAAAUUUCACAAGUAUUUUUUUCAUUAUUUUCUGUAUUGCUGUAAUCUCACUUUCAGCUUUUUGUUGUUUUAUGCUUGUACCUGUCUACUUUCUGAGCCCUUUCAUUUCGGCAGCUCUUUCGAUAAAUUGGGUGGUUGUGAUUGGUUUUGUAUGAAGUCAUUGAUGGAGAUAGUCAUGUAUGGGUUAAUUCCGAAUUACUUAGACUGAAAUUGCUAUAUAUGCACCGGCCUUUUAUGUCUUGAUUCCCCAUUGUUGAAUUGUCGAGAAUUUUAAUGCUUACUGGAUGGUACUUGAAGAUUAACUCGUGGUUUGAUAGUUUUUUGAUCAAUUAUGCUAGAAAGACAUGUUGGCAGUCAUUUGGAGGGGAUACCAUUUUAUCGAUCAAGAGGCGAGUUUCCAGGACCCGAUACAAGUAGGUUUGCAGGAACUAAACGAAGUAACUCUGACUCUUUUAUGGUGUCAUCAAAGGAGAAAUUUCCGCAAGUGCGACCAGAAUCACUUGAGAGCUCACAUUUGAUGAAGGUUCGUUCUGUUUCCUUCAUGGCAUGUUAUUUUAGAAUAGGUAAAGGGAUGAGGUCUUAUGCUGGUUUAAAUCUCAUUCCUGAAGUGCAUGUUUUGAAAAUAUUAGACUCCACUAAACAAUACAAUUUACAAGAUAUUAGCUUCUUUUUUUUCUUAUUAAUACAAUCUAGUGCUGUCUGAUUCAUGUUUCCAAACAUGGUAAAAAUGUUUCUAUUUAUCCUGAUACUGGGAGUUCUCUGUUCAGGUUCAGCUACUGCGACAUGGCGGGGGAGAGCGACCUUGGCUGCCAUGUGAUGAUGACAAAUCCUUUGCUAUGCAUCAAAUGAGACCAAUUUCGGCCUCUCUUAUAUCUCAAUCUUCUAGUGGCGGUAACUCCAAAUGGGAUCGAGCUAUUCCAAUGGAUCUUGGACCGACAUUACAGUAUCCUCCACGUGCUGGUCAAGUUGUACCAUUUGGGCACCAAACUCCAUCAAAUAGGUUUAAAGAUACGAAUCCUGGUCCUUCUGCCAUAUCACGAACAGCUGCUGAUGAAGGAUCUAGGACUGGAAUUAAAGGGUCUGGAAUUUUGAGUUCUAUCAAUGCAACUGGAGGUGUUUCUGAGAGACAACCUUCGGGAGUGCUCAUACGUACUGAUAAACAGAAGUCCACUCUUCACAUUUCGGAGCCAGAAUUGUCUGCUACACCCAG